rnacentral:rRNA from 1 species
UGGGGAAUCUUGCGCAAUGGGCGAAAGCCUGACGCAGCGACGCCGCGUGGGCGAAGAAGGCCUUCGGGUUGUAAAGCCCUGUGGGGGAGAACGAACCGUACGGGGGUUAAUAACCUCCGUGCCUGACGGUACUCCUUUAGCAAGCAUCGGCUAACUCUGUGCCAGCAGCCGCGGUAAGACAGAGGAUGCAAACGUUGCUCGGAAUUACUGGGCGUAAAGCGCGUGUAGGCGGCUUGGUAAGUCGGACGUGAAAUCCCGGGGCUCAACCCCGGAAGGGCGUUCGAUACUGCCGAACUUGGGUCCUGAAGAGGAGAGCGGAAUUCCCGGUGUAGAGGUGAAAUUCGUAGAUAUCGGGAGGAACACCAGUGGCGAAGGCGGCUCUCUGGGCAGGUACCGACGCUGAGACGCGAAAGCGUGGGAAGCAAACAGG